rnacentral:rRNA from 1 species
UACGGAGGGGGCUAGCGUUGUUCGGAAUUACUGGGCGUAAAGCGCACGUAGGCGGACUUGAAAGUCAGAGGUGAAAUCCCAAGGCUCAACCUUGGAACUGCCUUUGAAACUUCUGGUCUUGAGGUCGAGAGAGGUGAGUGGAAUUCCGAGUGUAGAGGUGAAAUUCGUAGAUAUUCGGAGGAACACCAGUGGCGAAGGCGGCUCACGGGCUCGAUACUGACGUUGAGGUGCGAAAGCGUGGGGAGCAAACAGG